rnacentral:rRNA from 1 species
AACGCGAAGAACCUUACCUGGGCUCGAAGCGCAGUGGACCGGGGUAGAAAUAUCCCUUUUCGCAAGAACCGCUGCGGAGGUGCUGCAUGGCUGUCGUCAGCUCGUGUCGUGAGAUGUUGGGUUAAGUCCCGCAACGAGCGCAACCCUUAUCGUUAGUUGCCACCAUUAAGUUGGGCACUCUAGUGGAACUGCCGGUGAUAAACCGGAGGAAGGUGGGGAUGACGUCAAGUCAUCAUGGCCUUUAUGUCCAGGGCUACACACGUGCUACAAUGGCCGGUACAAACCGCCGCAAACUCGCGAGAGGGAGCCAAUCGGAAAAAGCCGGUCUCAGUUCGGAUUGGAGUCUGCAACUCGACUCCAUGAAGUUGGAAUCGCUAGUAAUCGCAGAUCAGCACGCUGCGGUGAAUACGUUCCCGGGCCUUGUACACACCGAGACGA